rnacentral:lncRNA from 1 species
UCAUACCAAUCUAAUAUGAGUAUAUUUGUUGUGGGAGUGUAGCUUUAGUCCCAUAUUACUUAUGAGUCAAGAGGAGUAUGGCUUAUAUGAAAUGUGACCUUCUCUCUCCCAUGAGGUGUCUUUUAACAAACAAAACUAUAAGAUCCAAAAUAACUCAUACAGCCCCUAAGCUGUAGGCCGUAGAUCAAAGCAAAUAAUACUUCAUGCAUAUGGAAGUGA